rnacentral:rRNA from 1 species
GACGAACGCUGGCGGCGUGCCUAAUACAUGCAAGUAGAACGCUGAAGGAGGAGCUUGCUUCUCUGGAUGAGUUGCGAACGGGUGAGUAACGCGUAGGUAACCUGCCUGGUAGCGGGGGAUAACUAUUGGAAACGAUAGCUAAUACCGCAUAAUAGUAGAUGUUGCAUGACAUUUACUUAAAAGGUGCAAUUGCAUCACUACCAGAUGGACCUGCGUUGUAUUAGCUAGUUGGUGGGGUAACGGCUCACCAAGGCGACGAUGCAUAGCCGACCUGAGAGGGGGGUCGGCCACACUGGGACUGUGACACGGCCCAGAGUCCUUCAGGAGGGAGCAGUAGGGAAUCGUCAGCAAUGGACGAAAGUCUGACCGAGCAACGCCGAGUGAGGGAAGAAGGUUGUCGGAUCGGAAAGCUCGGUUGUAAGAGAGGAACGAGUGUGAGAGUGGAAAGUUCACACUGUGACGGUAUCUUACCAGAAAGGGACGGCUAACUACGUG